UACGUAGGGUGCAAGCGUUAAUCGGAAUUACUGGGCGUAAAGCGUGCGCAGGCGGUUUUGUAAGUCUGUCGUGAAAUCCCCGGGCUCAACCUGGGAAUUGCGAUGGAGACUGCAAGGCUAGAAUCUGGCAGAGGGGGGUAGAAUUCCACGUGUAGCAGUGAAAUGCGUAGAUAUCUGGAGGAAUACCGGUGGCGAAGGCGGCAUCCUGGACCGGUACUGACGCUGAGGUGCGAAAGCGUGGGGAGCAAACAGG
rnacentral:rRNA from 1 species